ACAUGCCUACAAGAUAACAUUAAUGCAACGGAUCCCAUUAGAACUACGCAAUUAAGCGUGAUCAUGAUAGAUUAGUAUUGGGAUGGGUGACCGCCCAUGAAUUCCUAGUGUUUAACAUGCC
rfam:Picea glauca, whole genome shotgun sequence.